GUGAAUCAUCAAAUCUUUGGACGCAAAUUGCACUCUCUCCGGAGAGUAUGCCUGUUUGAGGGUCAGACUAAAAAAAAUCGAAAUAGUCGCUGUUUCGCGGUGACAUUCGUCGGAAAUUGGGUAAUCUUAAACCUUUUGGUUUUAAGAGGAUUAAAAUUUUCUUUACGAUUUGAAGAACGUUUCUAAGAUUUAUUUAUACGUUUAAGGUAUAGAUCUUUAUUAGACGUGGUCGUUGCAUUGGAUCGAGUCGAUAAAUAUUUA
rnacentral:misc_RNA from 1 species